rnacentral:rRNA from 1 species
AUUGAACGCUGGCGGCAGGCUUAACACAUGCAAGUCGAACGAGUGGCGGACGGGAGAGUAAUGCUUGGGAAUCUGGCUUAUGGAGGGGGAUAACGACGGGAAACUGUCGCUAAUACCGCGAACCAUAGGAUGAGCCCAAGUGGGAUUAGGUAGUUGGUGGGGUAAUGGCCUACCAAGCAGACGAUCUCUAGCUGGUCUGAGAGUAUGCCCAUCCGCACCGGGACGUAGCCAUGGCCCUGACUCCUACGGGAGGCAUCAGUGGAGAAUAUUGCGCGAUGGGGGCAAUCGGACGCGGCCAUGCCGCGUGAAUGAAGAAGGCCUUCGGGUUGUAGAGUGCUUUCGGUGACGAGCCGUUAAUCACAGAAGAAGCACCGGCUGACUCCGUGCCAGCAGCCGCGGUAAUUC